rnacentral:rRNA from 1 species
GAGUUUGAUCGUGGCUCAGAUUGAACGCUGGCGGCAGGCCUAACACAUGCAAGUCGAGCGGUAGAGAGAAGCUUGCUUCUCUUGAGAGCGGCGGACGGGUGAGUAAUGCCUAGGAAUCUGCCUGGUAGUGGGGGAUAACGCUCGGAAACGGACGCUAAUACCGCAUACGUCCUACGGGAGAAAGCAGGGGACCUUCGGGCCUUGCGCUAUCAGAUGAGCCUAGGUCGGAUUAGCUAGUUGGUGAGGUAAUGGCUCACCAAGGCGACGAUCCGUAACUGGUCUGAGAGGAUGAUCAGUCACACUGGAACUGAGACACGGUCCAGACUCCUACGGGAGGCAGCAGUGGGGAAUAUUGGACAAUGGGCGAAAGCCUGAUCCAGCCAUGCCGCGUGUGUGAAGAAGGUCUUCGGAUUGUAAAGCACUUUAAGUUGGGUAGGAAGGGCAGUAAAUUAAUACUUUGCUGUUUUGACGUUAUCGACAGAAUAAGCACCGGCUAACUCUGUGCCAG